GCCGGGCGCCGUGGCGCGCGCCUGUAGUCCCAGCUACUUGGAAGGCUGAGGUGGGAGGAUCCCUUGAGCCCAGGAGUUCUGGGCUGUAGUGCACCUGGGCUGUAGGGCGCUAUGCCAAUCGGGUGUCCACACUAAGUUGGGCAUCCAUAUGGUGACCUCCCAGGAGCGGGGGACCACCAGGUUGCCUAAUGAGGGGUGAACUGGUACAGGUUGGUAACAAAGCAGGUCAAAAUUCCCGUGCUGGUCAGUAGUGAAAUCGCGCCUGUGAGCAGCCACUGUACUCCAGCCUGGGCAACACAGGGAGACCCGGUCUCUA
ensembl:misc_RNA Metazoa_SRP Metazoan signal recognition particle RNA